rnacentral:lncRNA from 1 species
AUUUCAGAGUAUUUCCUCAUACUAAAGUAAAAAGGAAGUAACAAUCUAGUAAACCCUGUGGCCUGUACCCUUAGGCAUGGUGCCUGACACUUGAUUCCAAAAUGGUCUUGCUUCCUGCCAUUUUGUCCAAGGAUUUUGGUUGCCGUGGCUGACUACGUUAGGACAGUACUAUUUCUGGAAUAUUGUCAAGCCUGCCUUAAGUGGACCUUUAAUGCAGUGGUGGGUGAACUUACCAAAUCAGCAGGUAGUACGUCAUUGAACAUACAGAACAGGUUACAUAAACUUUUUUUUUUUUUUUUGAGAUGGAGUCCCACUCUGUUGCCAGGCUGGAGUGCAGUGGUGCGAUCUCAGUUCACUGCAACCUCCACCUCCCAGGUUCAAGCGGUUCUCCUGCCUCAGCCUCCCGAGUAGUUGGGACUACAGGUGCAUGCCACCACAUCGAGCUAAUAAUUGUAUUUUUAGUAGAGAUGGGGUUUCACCAUGUUGGCCAGGAGGACCAUUUUAGCCCAGGAGUUUUGAGACUAGUCUGGCCAACAUAGCAAGACUCCAUCUCUAAAAAAAAUUUUUUUUUUUUAAUUAGCCAGGUGUGGAGUAUGCAUGUAGUCCCAGCUACUCCAGAGGCUAAGGCGGGAGGAUUGCUUGAGCCCAGGAGUUCAAGGCUGCAGUGAGCUAUGGUCAUGCCACUGCACUCCAGUCUGGCAGGAGAGUGGGACCCUGUCUCAACAAAAAAUAAAAUAAAAAUAACAAUAUUUAUUGAAAUCUGUAUGUGAGACAGCUUGAUCUGGGCUUGAAUUAUUUUUUUUUCUAACUUGGUACAGAGAUUGUUGGAAAAUAGCUAAUCCUCAUCCACCUCAAAAAUGUCAGUGCUUGUUAGCUAAUUCAGAAGAAUUGUAAGAGCUCUGUAUGUUAGCUCAGAUCUGUUAGAAAUGUCAGGUGUUUGAUUGGAUUGGGUUAUCCAGAUUGGUUGAAUUUAGAAAGUAGCUUCUGUGGUUUUGCAGUGAGAAUGCAACUUUAUAUUUCUAAUGUGGCUUGUUAAGACUUUGGGAUUUCACCAAAAUAGUAAAAUUUUAAAACUUUUGGGCAGAGCACAGAGGAUUUUUAGGGCAGUGAAACUAAUAUGUAUGAUACUAUAAUGGUGGAUAUAUGUCAUUAUAAUUUUUCCAAACCCACAGAAUGUAUACCACCAAGAGUGAACCCUCAUGUAAACUAUGGACUUGGGUAAUAAUGCUGUGUCAGUGUGGGUUCAUCAGUUGUCACAAAUGUACCGCUCUGGUGGGAGAUGUUGAUAAGGGAGAAGCUAGGCAUGUGUGCAGGUAGGGGGUAAAUGGGAAAUCUCUAGCUUUCCCUUAAUUUUUUUUAUGAACCUAAAACUGCUCUAAAAAUGCCUUUGGGAAAAACUUUGGGGACCAACAUAGGUGCCAACUUAUUUUACUAGGUAUAAGGAUGUUAAAAUUAUAUGAUUCAGUAUCACCACCAUUUUAUAAAACAUUUUAAUAUCAAAACCUCAGACAAUGGCAACCUUACACUGACAAUAAAGAAAAACUUUAAACAUUAAAAACAAUCCAAAUGCAGGAACAGGUACACCAUAAAAUUUUAUUUCACAGUGUUAUGCUACUGUUUAUUGAUAUAGGUUUGUCAGUUUGGAGAUCUUAGGAUUGCAAAAUAGUAACAUUUUAUAAAUUUUGGUGCCACCCAAAAUGGAGUCUGAAUGGCCAUUUCUUUCUGGUAUUUUUUUUUUUUUAAUGUCAGUCAUUGUUGAAGAGCUAUUUUCAACUACGUAUGUGAAAAUGGAAGCAACUCUUCUGAUGCUACUGUAAUCAAUUCAGAAUAUUCUGGGGAAGAACAGCAGCCCCAUCUCCAGAAAGGGCUAAAAUGAACAAUGAUAGGCCAAGUGACCAGUUAAUAAGCACCACAGAGAAGGGCAAUGGAAUAUAUAGCUGCUUUCAGCCAGGUCUGCAAUGUGGGACCUUGAUCCUGAGUGCCAACCCUAAAGCAUCCUGGGAGUUAGUCGGCAACUGCCAGGAGAAGGCCUACCAGUCAGUGGACAAGGCUUUGGCUUAGUUAGUAUAUGUGUGCUUCUGCCACAGCAGAACACAACUCACUAUACCUUGGGUACUGGUUGAUUCUUAGAUUUUACAGGCUGAACAAAUGACUGAAAUAAUUUCCUGAAUGAAGAACCAAAAUGUGGUUCUGUAAGCACUGAGUGCGUUGAUAUAGAUGUUGAUAGUGAUACACUUGGAUCCCCAAAGACACAGGGUCUUUGAGCUGUAUUAUUAUUAAUUUAUUUUUUAGAGGGAGUUUUGCUCUUGUCACCCAGUCUGGACUGCAAUGGCACAAUCUUGGCUCACUGCAACCUCCACCUCCCAGGUUCAAGUGAUUCUCCUGUCUCAGCCUCCCAAGCACCUGGGAUUACAGGCACCCACCACCAUGCCCAGCUAAUUUUUGUAUUUUUGGUAGAGAGCCGUGUUGGCCAGGCUGGUCUUGGAACUCGUGACCUCAGGUGAUCCCCCUGCCUCAGCCUCCCAAAGUGCUGGGAUUACAGGCUUAAGCCACCGCGCCCGGCCAUUUGAGCUGUAUUAAAUCAAGUUAGACAACUGGGAAAAGAUGAAGAGAGAAAAAUUAAAGUUAUUUAUAGUGCAAACCCAAAUGAGAUUUCUCUGUCGCUAAAUUCACAAGAAAGUAAGGAAUAUUAUUCAAGAUUGCAAAUUCUUUCGCUAGAUAUACACUUGCUCAGAGUCUAAGGAUUUUCUUCAUAAACAACCACAGUGAGUAUUCUGUUCCUAAAACAAGCCUUUUUAAUCCAGUUUGGUGGAGGCAGCAGAGUGGGAUGGAAAGAGUAAUCAUCUGUGAUCCAGGAAGUCUGCUUUAUAAUUACCAAGCUGACCUUGAACAAAUCACUCUCUUGUCCCUAGUUUCUUUUGUUGUUGUUUUGUUUUUGUUUUUGAGAUGGAGUUUUGCUCUUGUUGCCCAAGCUGGAGUGCAAUUGCAUGAUCUCAGCUCACCGCAACCUCCACCUCCCAGGUUCAAGCAAUUCUCCUGCCCCAGCCUCCCGAGUAGCUGGGAUUACAGGCAUGCGCCACCACACCCAGCUAAUUCUGUAUUUUUAGUAGAGACAGGGUUUCUCCAUGUUGGUCAGGCUGGUCUCAAACUCCUGACCUCAGAUGAUCCGCCUGCCUCGGCCUCCCAAAGUGCUGGGAUUACAGGCUUGAGCCACCAUGCCCGGCCGUCCCCAGUUUCUUUAUAAAAUAAAAUGGUCCUUUCUGACUUUGAACAUGUUAUGACGAGUUCAGUAAAUCAGAUCAGGGUAAGUGUUUCAGAAGGUUCAAACUAUUCCUCCCAAGGCAGUUUUGGUGACCUCAAACAGGCUAUGACUAAAAACACCUCCAAAUACAGUUGACCCUUGAACAACAUGGGUUUGAACUGUGUAAAUCCACUUAUACACAGAUUUUUUUCAAUAAAUACAUUGGAAGUUUUUUUUUUUGGAGUUUUUUGACAAUUUGAAAAAACACAAACUGCGUUGCCUAGAAAUAUUUUUAAACAUUUUAAAAGGUAUGAAUGCAUAAAAUAUAUGUAUAUACUAGUCUAUUUUAUCAUUUGCUACUACAAAAUAUGCACAAAUCUAUUAUAAAAAGCUAAAUUUUCUCAAAAUUUACACACAUAUACAGUACAUGGUGCCAUUCACAGUCCAGAGAAAUGUAAACAAAUGUAAAGAUGCAAGGUUAAAUCAUAGCCACAUAAAACCAACUGGAGUACGUACUGUACUGCAAUCAUUUUGUAGCUGCCUCCUACUGCUGCGGCAGUGCGCGCAGAUGUUGUGAAUAUCCACUCAAAACGCUAUGUGAUGCUAAUCAUCUCUGCAUGAGCAGUUCAACUCUCCAGUAAAUUUCAUGUGGCAGAAAAAAGUACUCUCUCGAGAUUCUUAAGUAUUUUUCAUCAUGUUUAGUGCACCAUAAACCUCAUAUAAUACCAUGGGACCCAUAUGAAGUGCCACUAGUGAUGCUGGAAGUGUUCUCAAGAAGUAGAAGUCAUGACAUUACAAGAAAAAGCUGAAUUGCUUGAUAUGUAUCAAAGAUUGAGGUCUGUGGCUGUGGAUGCCCCUCAUUUCAGUCCCAGGAUUCUUUCUGUAAACAGACAAUGUAAACUUAACGGAAUCAAUAAAUACAGUAAUGUAAAUGU